GACGAACGCUGGCGGCGUGCCUAAUACAUGCAAGUUGAGCGCUGAAGGUUGGUACUUGUACCAACUGGAUGAGCAGCGAACGGGUGAGUAACGCGUGGGGAAUCUGCCUUUGAGCGGGGGACAACAUUUGGAAACGAAUGCUAAUACCGCAUAAAAACUUUAAACACAAGUUUUAAGUUUGAAAGAUGCAAUUGCAUCACUCAAAGAUGAUCCCGCGUUGUAUUAGCUAGUUGGUGAGGUAAAGGCUCACCAAGGCGAUGAUACAUAGCCGACCUGAGAGGGUGAUCGGCCACAUUGGGACUGAGACACGGCCCAAACGCCUACGGGAGGCAGCAGUAGGGAAUCUUCGGCAAUGGACGAAAGUCUGACCGAGCAACGCCGCGUGAGUGAAGAAGGUUUUCAGAUCGUAAAACUCGGUUGGUAGAGAAGAACGUUGGUGGGAGUGGAAAGCUCAUCAAGUGACGGUAACUACCCAGAAAGGGACGGCUAACUACGUG
rnacentral:rRNA from 1 species